rnacentral:rRNA from 1 species
UACAGAGGUGGCAAGCGUUGUUCGGAAUUACUGGGCGUAAAGGGCGCGUAGGCGGCCUUCUAAGUCAGACGUGAAAUCCCCCGGCUUAACCUGGGAACUGCGUCUGAUACUGGGAGGCUUGAGUAUGGGAGAGGGAUGUAGAAUUCCAGGUGUAGCGGUGAAAUGCGUAGAUAUCAGGAGGAACACCCGUGGCGAAAGCGGCUCUCUGGGACGGUACUGACGCUGAGACGCGAAAGCGUGGGGAGCAAACAGG